AUGGCGGAUCCAGCUGCUCUGCCAAUCGUGCCUUGUCCGGAUUGCGGCAGGAACGUGGUGACCUACGUUGCUAGGCGCGGGCAGAACGCCUGUCGGUGUUUCUACAAGUGCCGGAAUCACAACCCUUCAGCGGGCGGAUGCGAUUUCUACAGGUGGCAGGAAGGCUAUGCAGCGCAUCUGGCCAAUCUUGAAGGAGGAGAAGCUGCUGUGGGUCAAAUCGGUCCGGGUCAGAUGCAGGGUGGGCAAGCUGUCGAAGCUCAAGUUGUGCAGGCUGAUCACGGCCAGCCGGUGCAGCAAAAUGGGCCGCCGGAGGCGUCGCAGGCUGCAUCGUUUGCUAGUGCGGUCGCAUGA
rnacentral:rRNA from 1 species